rnacentral:rRNA from 1 species
GACAGAGGGUGCAAACGUUGUUCGGAAUUACUGGGCAUAAAGAGCACGUAGGUGGUGCGCUAAGUCACGUGUGAAAUCCCCCGGCUCAACCGGGGAAUUGCGCGUGAUACUGGCGGACUCGAGGCGGGUAGGGGUGAGCGGAACUCCAGGUGGAGCGGUGAAAUGCGUAGAUAUCGGGAGGAAUACCGAUGGCGAAGGCAGGUCUCUGGGCUAUAACUGAUGCUCAUGCACGAAAGCGUGGGGAGCAAACAGG